AGAAAUUAACCCACUUUUCAACCAUUUCAUUAAACGACGACGGUUUGGUCCCUGGUUCUGUAAAACCUAAUCCUUAGCUUAGCAGUCCCUUCCUUUCUCACUCUUCCACUCACUCCGAUCGCCACGUCAACUCUCCGGCGACUCUAUUCUCACGCAAUGCACGAGUGAAUGGUAACACUUUCGCUCUAUAAUUCAAAUUCACAUUCAUUCUCUUCGUCACCAUGCUUUCUCGUUUAAUCCCUAAACCCUCUCAUCUCCGUCGCUUCCUCACUCUUCCGUUGAAACCGCCCCACACACCUGCGAAACCCUACUUCACCACCGUCGUUCUUCCCAGACACCUCUCCACCAACAGCGGUGGCAAGGAUCCAUCCUCGAACCGCCUGUGGAACGAUUUUCGGGAGACCGAGGAAAAGUUCGGCGCUUUAUUCGAGGAGGAGAGUGGAAGCCUUGCUGGAAUAAACGAAGAGGGUGGGAAAAGGGAGGAGCGGGACUGGCUGCAAGAGGAAGAAAAGGGGUGGUUGCAAGAGAAGGGUCUCGAUGAGAAAGAUGAAGAUGCUAUAUUUAAAGGGAUCGAGAAGGAAAGUGGAGAUGCGAGUGGUGGAGGUGGUGGUGGUGCUGGUGGUUGGAAUUUUGGAGUUGGAGCAGGAGAGGGCUUCAAACCUUGGAACUUGAAGGAAGAGGACAAAGAGGAUGUGUUUGAUUUCCCCGAGGAGGAUGUGGAACAUGAAAGGGACAUUCCUGCUUUGGAUGUUAAGCCAGAAGUGGAUGUUGAACAGCUUCAGAAGGAAGAGCAAGCUCUCACUGCUGUUGUCAAAGGUCCAAAACGUGCAUUUGGUGAUUUGAUUGCUGCUUCUGGAAUCACGGAUGAAAUGCUUGACAGUUUGAUUGCGUUGAAAGACUUCGAUGGAGUUGAAGGGUUGCCUCCUCUCAGUGUAAUUGAAGACAUGAGGUAUGAGAGGAAUACUAGAAAAUCCACUAGAGGUGAAAUGGAGCGUUUGAAGCAAGAGGAAGCUGCAAAAGCUAGAGUGAAACAAGUUGAUGACAAAGGUCGUGCUUAUGGAACAGGAAGAAGAAAAUGCAGUGUUGCCCGUGUCUGGGUUCAGCCGGGUAAUGGUAAAUUUAUAGUUAAUGAUAAAGAGUUUGAUGUCUAUUUUCCCAUGCUUGAUCAUCGCGCCACGCUCCUCCGACCUUUCUCUGAGACAAAGACAUUGGGGCUAUGGGAUGUCAAUUGUACUGUGAAAGGAGGCGGUGUUUCAGCCUUGAGCUAAUCCCAGCACGAACAAUUAAGUUUGCAAAUGAAUGCUUGAUCUUUGAUUUAUCACCUGAUAGACACUACACUUCUGUUCAACUCCCCCUGACAAAUCCUACACUGAGAAAACUGUGCACAGUGGAGGGCAAGUUGGAGCUAUACGAUUGGGGAUCAGCAGGGCUUUGCAAAACUGGGAACCAGAUCUGCGGCCUGCACUGAGAAGUGCUGGUUUCCUAACGAGGGACUCACGAGUGGUAGAAAGGAAAAAGCCAGGAAAGGCAAAAGCAAGAAAAAGUUUCCAAUGGGUCAAACGUUGAUACUACUGUACCUCUCUGGAUGGCAUUUUUUUUGUCUGGAAUAUUAGCAUUCCUCAAUAACAUAUUGAAAUUCGUUUGUCUUGUACUGCAUCACCCUUGAUGUAAUCAGCGUUUGGAUUUCAAUGACUCAACUGUAGAAAAUUUUGGUCACGGAUAUGUUAGGAUUCAUUCACUCUUUGGAAAGCGCUUGUGAUUGCUAUUUUUUUUUUUCCCUUUAUACUUCAUUUUGCCCGAUGAAUGUUGUGGUAGUCAUCGUUGGGAGAUUAGUGUUGACUGUGUUA